rnacentral:rRNA from 1 species
AAUGACUCUCGACAACGGAUAUCCCGGCUCUCGCAUCGAUGAAGAACGUAGCGAAAUGCGAUACUUGGUGUGAAUUGCAGAAUCCCGUGAACCAUCGAGUCUUUGAACGCAAGUUGCGCCCGAAGCCAAUAGGCCGAGGGCACGUCUGCCUGGGUGUCACGC